UACGUGGCAAGGCUAAGGGCUUAUGGUCCGCAGCCGAAGCGAAAGCGAGUCUUAAUAGGGCGCACAGUCGCGUGCGGUAGACCCGAAACCGUGGUGAUCUAUCCAUGGCCAGGAUAAAGUUUCUGUAAAAGGAAAUGGAGGUCCGAACCAGUGGCAGUUAAAAAUGCCUUGGAUGAGCUGUGGAUAGGGGUGAAAGGCCAAUCAAACCCGGAUUUAGCUGGUUCUCUCCGAAAUGCUUUUAGGAGCAGCGUCGUGUAGUAGCACGUGGGGGUAGAGCACUGGAUGGGCUAGGGGUCAUACCAGAUUACUGAACCCAACCAAACUCCGAAUACCAUGUGUGUAAUCACGGCAGUGAGCCUGCGGGGAUAAAACUCCGUAGACAAAAGGAAAACAACCCAGACCGACAGCUAAGGUCCCAAAUCUAUGCUCAGUGGAAACGAGGUGCAAUCGCUUAAACAACCAGGAUGUUGGCUUAGAAGCAGCCAUCAUUAAAGAGUAGCGUAAUAGCUCACUGGUCGAGUGAUUGUG
rnacentral:rRNA from 1 species